rnacentral:tRNA from 2 species
GCGGGUGUGGCGGAAUUGGUAGACGCGCUGGUUUUAGGUACCAGUGGCCUUGGCCGUGGGGGUUCAAGUCCCUUCACCCGCACCA